ACGGGUGAGUAACACGUGGGCAAUCUGCCCUUCACUCUGGGACAAGCCCUGGAAACGGGGUCUAAUACCGGAUAACACUCUGUCCCGCAUGGGACGGGGUUAAAAGCUCCGGCGGUGAAGGAUGAGCCCGCGGCCUAUCAGCUUGUUGGUGGGGUAAUGGCCUACCAAGGCGACGACGGGUAGCCGGCCUGAGAGGGCGACCGGCCACACUGGGACUGAGACACGGCCCAGACUCCUACGGGAGGCAGCAGUGGGGAAUAUUGCACAAUGGGCGAAAGCCUGAUGCAGCGACGCCGCGUGAGGGAUGACGGCCUUCGGGUUGUAAACCUCUUUCAGCAGGGAAGAAGCGAAAGUGACGGUACCUGCAGAAGAAGCACCGGCUAACUACGUGCCAGCAGCCGCGGUAAUACGUAGGGUGCGAGCGUUGUCCGGAAUUAUUGGGCGUAAAGAGCUCGUAGGCGGCUUGUCACGUCGGAUGUGAAAGCUCGGGGCUUAACCCCGAGUCUGCAUUCGAUACGGGCUAGCUAGAGUGUGGUAGGGGAGAUCGGAAUUCCUGGUGUAGCGGUGAAAUGCGCAGAUAUCAGGAGGAACACCGGUGGCGAAGGCGGAUCUCUGGGCCAUUACUGACGCUGAGGAGCGAAAGCGUGGGGAGCGAACAGGAUUAGAUACCCUGGUAGUCCACGCCGUAAACGUUGGGAACUAGGUGUUGGCGACAUUCCACGUCGUCGGUGCCGCAGCUAACGCAUUAAGUUCCCCGCCUGGGGAGUACGGCCGCAAGGCUAAAACUCAAAGGAUUGACGG
rnacentral:rRNA from 1 species